UUUGAAAAACUGUCAUACAAACAAUGAAAGGAUAAUAUGAGAUGAAUAAUAAAACCAAUAUAUUUACUACAUUAACUUGUGAUUGGAAAAUAUUAUUGUAACAAAUACCAUUCAUUCACAGUGAAACUAUUAUGCAAAUUCGGUCUUAAAAAGCAUAAAGUUAUUCCCAAGUAUUGUUUAUCGAAAUGUCCCGAUUGACUAAAGAGGUUUUUAAUGUCCUCCAUCUAUACGUUACACAGCUUAAAAUCAAGCCUCACUUUUGCCUGAUCUCUCGGAGACCGCGUUGAACGUCUUUAUUAUGGCUGAAACAUACAUUUGACAGAGAUGAGUCAGAUUGUGAAAUAGCCUCGCAGUUAUUUUUAAAAAAGAUAUACAAUACAAAAUCAA